UGCGUAUUAUAAUGAAUCUCCUCGCUUGUUUUUAUUUUGUAUUCAGACCCUUGCCUAAAUGGAGGGACCCGCAUCGUAGAGGGCGGUGUUUAUCGAUGCCUGUGUGCAGGGAAUCAUGUAGGACAAUACUGCCAAUCUUGUCGUGUAGCCUGGAACAUGCAUCGUCCAAUAGGAAGGAUAUUUUACAACGCGUUGCGCCCUCAUGUGGGCAAAACAAGACUGUCAUUCAAAAUGCGAGGAAGUAACUCAUAUAUAUCAUUCAAACUCGAAAGUGACUGGUAUGCCAUUUUUGGGAUAUGCAAAGGCUCUGCCACGUUUCGAUACGCUACUAUAAAUAUGAUGAAAGACCUGGUAUGGAGCCGAGGAAAAAUGUCUGAUCCUCACUCUUUCUCGUGCGGCACAUCAAGAUUCGACUCGUAUUGGAUUGAAAAGACCGAUAGCCACUUUCAGCUGGGACUUGGUGGGAACUCGACUCCGGUUGUGGAAAUACCAUGGAGCACACAAGAGGUCAUGACGAAAAUCGGCUUGAGUGUCAACCGUGAUACAGAGUGGAGGGUAGACCAUCCUUGCAUUCGUUAGCAAAGAUUGGGAGAGGCUUAUUCAGAUAAUCUGCACAAGAUGCACAACGGGCGAACAUCACCCAUAUCAUCAACAUCAUCAUCAUCAUUAUCAUCAUCAUCAU